rnacentral:lncRNA from 1 species
CCAGAAAAGGGCGGCUCGGAUGGGGAAUAAGCAUCGAGGUUUGCCUGCUCAGAUAUAGACAUGCAGCUCUACCUAUGCAAUAUCGAAUUCAAUGUCCGAGGAUCAAUGCAUUUAGGUCCGCUAGGAAAAGAACAGCUAAGAAGGCGUCGCUAGCUAAGAUUACUAAUAUACAAAUUCUCACAUGUCUUAGGUGAAGCACUAAAGAGGAGUCGAGAAUGCAACUUACAGGGACAAGUUCUCCAACAAGCCUGCCUGGCAUCAAACAUCGAAAAACAUCUUUCUCACAAGAAAAUAAACCUUAGCGAAUGGAGCAUUUUACCUGGAAUACCCACUUCGGGAUACGGCUAUUUGAGCAG